rnacentral:rRNA from 1 species
ACUCCUGCGGGAGGCAGCAGUGGGGAAUAUUGCACAAUGGGCGCAAGCCUGAUGCAGCCAUGCCGCGUGUAUGAAGAAGGCCUUCGGGUUGUAAAGUACUUUCAGCGGGGAGGAAGGCGAUAAGGUUAAUAACCUUGUUGAUUGACGUUACCCGCAGAAGAAGCACCGGCUAACUCCGUGCCAGCAGCCGCGGUAAUACGGAGGGUGCAAGCGUUAAUCGGAAUUACUGGGCGUAAAGCGCACGCAGGCGGUCUGUCAAGUCGGAUGUGAAAUCCCCGGGCUCAACCUGGGAACUGCAUUCGAAACUGGCAGGCUAGAGUCUUGUAGAGGGGGGUAGAAUUCCAGGUGUAGCGGUGAAAUGCGUAGAGAUCUGGAGGAAUACCGGUGGCGAAGGCGGCCCCCUGGACAAAGACUGACGCUCAGGUGCGAAAGCGUGGGGAGCAAACAGGAUUAGAUACCCGGGUAGUCCCA